GCCAGCAGCUAUGUCACCCCGCAUCUCACAACUGGCAGCCCAGUGAAGCUCAGCAGGUGUGAGCCUGGUCAGUACCUGGAUGGGAGACCUCCUGGGAAAAACGUAGGUUGCUGCUGGAU
rnacentral:rRNA from 1 species